rnacentral:rRNA from 1 species
UACGGAGGGGGCUAGCGUUGUUCGGAAUUACUGGGCGUAGAGCGCACGUAGGCGGCUUUGUAAGUUAGAGGUGAAAGCCCAGGGCCCAACCCUGGAAUUGCCUUUAAGACUGCAUCGCUUGAACAUCGGAGAGGUAAGUGGAAUUCCGAGUGUAGAGGUGAAAUUCGUAGAUAUUCGGAAGAACACCUGUGGCGAAAGGCGGCUCUGGACCACAAUCUUGACGCUGAGGCGCGAAAGCUAGGGGAGCAAACAGG